UCCAGAACCAAUCUACUAGUAUAUCUAAAUAGUAGCCCCCACUAUUUGAUUUUCCUGCGUUUCUAUGCAUCCACGUCACCCUAAAUAAUUUCAGCCGUUUGAUUCACUACAGAUGUCCCAGAUUUGCAGACCAAGAGUUGAUCCCCAAUGCUCCAAGCCUCCAUGCCCCUCCCGUUGCCUCCUCCUUCCUCCACCAACGGAAACGGAAGCCAAAGCAUAAGCGUCCAAUCUAAACGUCCAUGGUGCGACUGAAUCCCUCCUCUUAAUAGUUGACCGCCCCGUCUCCUAUUCCCCAUCUCUCCCCAACCGACACAAAUGCCACCCUGCAAGGGACGUAACAGAACCCAGCCCCUCAUCUAGGGUUUGUGGCCGCCGGCGAUGGCGGGGAAAGGGAAGGAUCUGGAGGAUGGGUGGAACUUCGUGCAGAAGGGCAUCAAAAAGCUCAUCAACAUCCUUGAGGGCAAGCCGGAAUCACAGUUCAGCUUCGAGUACGUCUACGUGAUGUUCUACACGUGAUUAAAGUGGGGCAAAACCAAACCAACUCAUGCAUUAAUUCUAAUUACCUCAGCUUGGUCCGGAAGGAGCAUCAGGCGAAAGAUUUUCUGAGUAUGAUUCCUAUUCAUUUCAAUGAUCUACAUGGGAAGCGCAAGUCUAGCUGCGAUGAUACAAAUCCGCUCGGCAAACAAAUAAAAGCAUUUGGCAGAAGAAGCGAUGACCAAGCAAGAGCAAGUCAUGACAAUUACUGGUCUUUUGUUCACCAAUCAGCUGUUAUGUUUCAUAAACAUGUUCAUAAUGCUAAUGUAAAAUGGUUAUUGAAUGUACUAUAUAUAAAUAGAAUGAAUUUAGGGCCGGAGUUGUUCUAGAAAGGCAGAGUUGAAACACAAAGAAGGCCAGGCAAAGCAUAUGGGAGGAUGCAAGUGUUUCAAUCAGGAAUGAUAAUAUGUGGUAUGCUUUCAUGUGUGCUUUAUUUAUCUAAAUGUUUGACCAAUUUUGUUAAUUAGUUGAACUUCUAUCUUCAUCAUAUCUCCUGCAGAAAAUAUAAUUUUUUUUAGUGUUGAAUCAUUAGCCAGUACCUUUUUGGUUCUGUGUGUAUGCCAAAGGUAUGACCAUUUAGACCAUUGGUACAGUUUCAUUGCAGCAGUACUAUGUUAUAACUUCCUACUCAAGGUAGAUUUGAAUUCUUGCGAUGUGUCUUUAUGUCAGAGCUAAUGGCCUGCAUCUAUCUGUGACACCAUACACCACUUGCAGGAAAUCAAUCGUGUGCCUACCUGAUCCCACAGCAAGUGUUCGCUCACUGGUGAGUUUUGUAAUCUGCAAAUCUGUUUUUUUUUCCUGCUUGCUGCACAUGGGUGGUACUUCGACCGGGGCACCAACUAUACAUGAAUGUACUUCCAUUUUUAUAUUCAGGAGAAUUUAGAAACAGAUGUCUUUGAACAUUUUUUAUUUAAAAUUGGUGAUUCAAGCUUGGUAGAUUGGCUGAUGAUGGGCGACGAAAUGUCUUCUAUCUAUAAAAUUUGGAAGACUUGAGAAGGCAAGGAUAUUUCUCUCUUUGGUAGUAUUUAAAAUAUUUGUCAGCUAGAUGUCGCUAUCUUUACAUCAACUAUGCAAUUAUAUUUCUAUAAUGAUUGUUCAAAGGGAUUGAUGAAAAUGGCCCCUUCAACUGAUAGUUACACACCUCUAGCGGCUGGCUGUAGUAGUGUUAUGUGUACAAGGAACAACGAUGAACAAAAAUAAGAAGAUAUAAGUAAUCAAAAGAAGUUUUGGUUUUUAGGUGAUGAUUCCCUUUUCCCAUAUACUUACUGAUAGCAAUUCUUUUUGUUUUUUCAUAUAGCAUCCAUCUAAUAUUUCUGACAGCAUUUAGAAUGAACUGGAGGAGAACAAACUUGACACACAAAACAAUUUUGGUCACAGGAGGGCUUCAGGUCACACAUGUGUCAUUCGAGUGUGCAAACUGUUGACUGCAUUUCAGGAAGACCAUUUAAUGACAUGCAUGUACAAAAUAUCAACAAAUGUAACCUACCCAUUUUAUUUUUAUGUAAUGUGAAUAAAUA